rnacentral:rRNA from 1 species
AUUGAACGCUGGCGGCAGGCCUAACACAUGCAAGUCGAACGAGUGGCGGACGGGUGAGUAAUGUCUGGGAAACUGCCUGAUGGAGGGGGAUAACUACUGGAAACGGUAGCUAAUACCGCAUACCAUCGGAUGUGCCCAGAUGGGAUUAGCUAGUAGGUGGGGUAACGGCUCACCUAGGCGACGAUCCCUAGCUGGUCUGAGUGGAUGACCAGCAACACGGGAACUGAGACACGGUCCAGACUCCGAGGGGAGGCAGAAGUGGGGAAUAUUGCACAAGGGGCGCAAGUCUGAUGCAGCCAUGCCGCGUGCAUGAAGAAGGCCUUCGGGUUGUAAAGGAUUUGCAGCGGGGAGGCGUUACCCGUAGAAGAAGCACCGGCUAACUCCGUGCCAGCAGCCGCGGUAAUAC